ACCAGACUCCUACGGGAGGCAGCAGUGGGGAAUAUUGGGCAAUGGGCGCAAGCCUGACCCAGCAACGCCGCGUGAAGGAAGAAGGCUUUCGGGUUGUAAACUUCUUUUCUCAGGGACGAAGCAAGUGACGGUACCUGAGGAAUAAGCCACGGCUAACUACGUGCCAGCAGCCGCGGUAAUACGUUGGUGGCAAGCGUUAUCCGGAUUUACUGGGUGUAAAGGGCGUGUAGGCGGGAAAGCAAGUCAGAUGUGAAAACCACGGGCUCAACCUGUGGCCUGCACUUGAAACUGUUUUUCUUGAGUGCUGGAGAGGCAGACGGAAUUCCUCGUGUAGCGGUGAAAUGCGUAGAUAUGAGGAGGAACACCAGUGGCGAAGGCGGUCUGCUGGACAGCAACUGACGCUGAGGCGCGAAAGCGUGGGGAGCAAACAG
rnacentral:rRNA from 1 species